rnacentral:lncRNA from 1 species
AUGGCUGCCCAAAGAGAACCCCAAGUUCAGUUCAAACUUGUUUUGGUGGGUGAUGGUGACACUGGCAAAACUACACCUGUGAAACACCAUCUGACUGGUGAAUCUGAGAAGUGUAUAGUUACCCGGAGUGUUGAGUCCCAUUCCCCGUGUUCCAUACUAACAGAGGACCUACCUAUUAAGUUCAAUGUAUGGGAUGCAGCUGGUCAGGAGAAAUUUGGUGGACGAAGAGAUGGCUAUAACCAAGAUGAGUGUCUCAUUAGAACGUUUGACAUCAGGAGUUACGAGAACACGCCUAACAGGCACAGAGAUCUGGUCCGAGUGUGUGAGAACAACCCCCAUCAUAUUGUGUAGCAACAAAGUAGAUAUUAAGGACAGAAAGAUUAAGGCAAAGUCAGUUGUCUCCCACCAAAAGGAGACUCUUCAGUACUAUGUCAUUUCUGCCAAAAGUAGGCAGAAAAGCUUUGAAAAGCCCUCGCUCUGGCUUGCUAGAAAGCCAAGUGGAGGCCCUAACUCGGAGUUUGUCAUCAUGCCCGCUCUCACCCGCCAGAGGUGGUCAUGGACCCAGCCUGGCAGUGCAUCUAGAGGUUGCUCAGACAGCUCCUUUCCCGGAUGAAAAUGAUGACCUGUGA